GAUGAACGCUGGCGGCGUGCUUAACACAUGCAAGUCGAACGAAGCACUAAAGUGGAAGUUUUCGGAUGGAAGCUUUGGUGACUUAGUGGCGGACGGGUGAGUAACGCGUGGGCAACCUGCCUCAUACAGGGGGAUAACAGUUGGAAACGACUGCUAAGACCGCAUAAUACUAUUUUUCCGCAUGGAGAGAAAGUCAAAGAUUUAUCGGUAUGAGAUGGACCCGCGUCUGAUUAGCUAGUUGGUGAGGUAAUGGCUCACCAAGGCGACGAUCAGUAGCCGGCUUGAGAGAGUGACCGGCCACAUUGGGACUGAGACACGGCCCAAACUCCUACGGGAGGCAGCAGUGGGGAAUAUUGCACAAUGGGGGAAACCCUGAUGCAGCGACGCCGCGUGAGUGAAGAAGUAUUUCGGUAUGUAAAGCUCUAUCAGCAGGGAAGAAAAAAAUGACAGUACCUGACUAAGAAGCCCCGGCUAACUACGUGCCAGCCGCCGCGGUAA
rnacentral:rRNA from 1 species